UCCGGUUUGUCACCGGCAGUCACCUUAGAGUGCCCAACUGAAUGCUGGCAACUAAGAUCAAGGGUUGCGCUCGUUGCGGGACUUAACCCAACAUCUCACGACACGAGCUGACGACAACCAUGCACCACCUGUCACUUCGUCCCCGAAGGGAACGUCUUAUCUCUAAGACAGGCGAAGGAUGUCAAGCCCUGGUAAGGUUCUUCGCGUUGCUUCGAAUUAAACCACAUGCUCCACUGCUUGUGCGGGCCCCCGUCAAUUCCUUUGAGUUUCAGCCUUGCGGCCGUACUCCCCAGGCGGAGUGCUUAAUGUGUUAACGUCGGCACUAAGGGGAUCGAACCCCCUAACACCUAGCACUCAUCGUUUACGGCGUGGACUAC
rnacentral:misc_RNA from 1 species